rnacentral:rRNA from 1 species
UACGUAGGGCGCAAGCGUUAUCCGGAAUUAUUGGGCGUAAAGAGCUCGUAGGCGGUUUGUCGCGUCUGCCGUGAAAAUCCGGGGGCUCAACCCCGGACUUGCAGUGGGUACGGGCAGACUAGAGUGUGGUAGGGGAGACUGAAUUCCUGGUGUAGCGGUGGAAUGCGCAGAUAUCAGGAGGAACACCGAUGGCGAAGGCAGGUCUCUGGGCCACUACUGACGCUGAGAAGCGAAAGCAUGGGGAGCGAACAGG